rnacentral:rRNA from 1 species
GACGAACGCUGGCGGCGUGCUUAACACAUGCAAGUCGAACGGAAAGGCCCUGCUUUUGUGGGGUGCUCGAGUGGCGAACGGGUGAGUAACACGUGAGUAACCUGCCCUUGACUUUGGGAUAACUUCAUGAAACUGGGGCUAAUACCGGAUAGGAGCUCCCGCUGCAUGGUGGGGGUUGGAAAGUUUCGGCGGUUGGGGAUGGACUCGCGGCUUAUCAGCUUGUUGGUGGGGUAGUGGCUUACCAAGGCUUUGACGGGUAGCCGGCCUGAGAGGGGGACCGGCCACAUUGGGACUGAGGUAAGGCCCAGAAUCCUACGGGAGGCAGCAGGGGGGAAUAUUGCACAAUGGGCGGAAGCCUGAGGCAGCAACGCCGCGUGCGGGAUGACGGCCUUCGGGGUGUAAACCGCUUUCGCCUGUGACGAAGCGUGAGUGACGGUAAUGGGUAAAGAAGCACCGGCUAACUACGUG